rnacentral:rRNA from 1 species
GGGUCAGUAGGUUGGUCGUGCCACCGGUACGUACUGGUCUCACUGAUUCCUCCUUCCUGAAGAACCGUAAUGCCAUUAAUUUGGUGUUGCGGGGAAACAGGACUGUUACUUUGAAAAAAUUAGAGUGUUUAAAGCAAGCUAACGCUUGAAUACAUUAGCAUGGAAUAAUGAAAUAGGACGAUCGACCCUAUUUUGUUGGUUUCUAGGAUUGACGUA